rnacentral:rRNA from 1 species
CGCGAAUAGCUCAUUACAACAGCCUUAGUUUAUUGGAUCUUAGAGUCCUACUUGGAUAACUGUGGUAAUUCUAGAGCUAAUACACGCAAUUAAUCCUCAACCUUACGGGCGAGGAGCAUUUAUUAGAACAAAACCAAUCGGCUUCGGCCGUAUCUGGUGAAUCUGAAUAACUACGCUGAUCGCAUGGUCUCGUACCGGCGACAUAUCCUUCAAGUGUCUGCCUUAUCAACUGUCGAUGGUAGUUUACACGCCUACCAUGGUUGUAACGGGUAACGGAGAAUAAGGGUUCGACUCCGGAGAGGGAGCCUGAGAAACGGCUACCACAUCCAAGGAAGGCAGCAGGCGCGCAAAUUACCCACUCUCAGAACGGGGAGGUAGUGACGAAAAAUAACGAGACAGUUCUCUAUGAGGUCUGUCAUCGGAAUGGGUACAAUUUAAACCCUUUAACGAGGAUCUAUUGGAGGGCAAGUCUGGUGCCAGCAGCCGCGGUAAUUCCAGCUCCAAUAGCGUAUAUUAAAGUUGUUGCGGUUAAAAAGCUCGUAGUUGGAUCUGCGGUCGUAGACUCUGGUUCCCUCCUAGGGAUACUAGCUGUCUCGACCUACCUUGUUAGAUUUCCCUUGGUGCUCUUUACUGAGUGCCUUGGGUGUCUAGCUCGUUUACUUUGAAAAAAUUAGAGUGCUUAAAGCAGGCAUUUGCCUGAAUAGUGGUGCAUGGAAUAAUGGAAUAGGACCUCGGUUCUAUUUUGUUGGUUUUCGGAGCAUGAGGUAAUGAUUAAGAGGGACAGACGGGGGCAUUCGUACUGCUACGUUAGAGGUGAAAUUCUUGGAUCGUCGCAAGACGGACAACUGCGAAAGCAUUUGCCAAGAAUGUUUUCAUUAAUCAAGAACGAAAGUUAAAGGUUCGAAGGCGAUCAGAUACCGCCC